CAGCUCCUCGUCCAGUGAAAGUGAAAGUAAACACAAAACAGUAUCAUGAAAACACCGUUGCAAGGUUGAAGCCGUUUGUUGACUGGCCCAGCAAAUUGAGUGUGAAAUCAAAGAUAAGGGUGGCGUCUGAACUCUGCUCCACACAGCAAGCAGAUUUGAUUUCUCUGACUCAACCCAUCGUUACCGGACAAAUCAGAUGGCCCCCGAAUGUGUUGGCAUUCGGUGAAAUGUUGGGGAGGUACUCAAAUCCAGACUCAUUGCGAAGAAGAAACGAACGUCCUUGGGCGUGGCGUUUGGCCGGAGCAAGGAGUUUGGGUAGCCAGGCAACAGGUAGCCUACCUCAUAUCACAACACUCACCUACAAGAGGUCAUCAAUCUCUCAAACCUAAAAGUGCCAUUUCAGUACCUCUAAACAGCAUUAACCAUAUCAUGGCUUGUAUAAUGCAUGUGUUAAUUAGCUUAUUUAUGACUGUGUAAGAAUGACUCAACAAGGUUCAACAUCCAGGCUCAGUAACAACAGGUGCUCCAGUCCUCAACAAAAACACCUGUCAGCUACAGUGCAUAUAAGCACGGUCAGCAACAACAGACAGAUGUUUACACAACGCUCCUAAGAGGGUCCUGCUCGUCUGCUGUGGUUGUCAACGCUGCUUGCCUGCAACCUGCCAGAUAGAAUGUGAAGGUUACUAU